rnacentral:rRNA from 1 species
AGAGUUUGAUCCUGGCUCAGAGUGAACGCUGGCGGCAUGCCUAACACAUGCAAGUCGAACGGUAACAGGCCCGCAAGGGUGCUGACGAGUGGCGGACGGGUGAGGAAUACAUCGGAAUCUGCCCGGUUGUGGGGGAUAACGUAGGGAAACUUACGCUAAUACCGCAUACGACCGAAAGGUGAAAGCGUGGGAUCCGCAAGGACCUCGCGCAGCCGGAUGAGCCGAUGUCGGAUUAGCUAGUUGGCGGGGUAAAGGCCCACCAAGGCGACGAUCCGUAGCUGGUCUGAGANNGGAUGAUCAGCCACACUGGGACUGAGACACGGCCCAGACUCCUACGGGAAGGCAGCAGUGGGGAAUAUUGGACAAUGGGGGCAACCCUGAUCCAGCAAUGCCGCGUGUGUGAAGAAGGCCUUCGGGUUGUAAAGCACUUUUAUCCGGAACGAAACGCGCAGGGUGAAUAGCCUUUGCGAACUGACGGUACCGGAGGAAUAAGCACCGGCUACUUCGUGCCAGCAGCCGCGGUAAUACGAAGGGUGCAAACGUUACUCGGAAUUACUGGGCGUAAAGCGUGCGUAGGUGGUUUGUUAAGUCUGCUGUGAAAGCCCCGGGCUCAACCUGGGAAUGGCAGUGGAUACUGGCAAGCUAGAGUGCGGUAGAGGGUAGUGGAAUUCCCGGUGUAGCGGUGAAAUGCGUAGAGAUCGGGAGGAACACCAGUGGCGAAGGCGGCUACCUGGACCAGCACUGACACUGAGGCACGAAAGCGUGGGGAGCAAACAGGAUUAGAUACCCUAGUAGUCC